rnacentral:rRNA from 1 species
UAGCAUAUCAAUAAGCGGAGGAAAAGAAACCAACAGGGAUUGCCUCAGUAACGGCGAGUGAAGCGGCAAUAGCUCAAAUUUGAAAUCUGGCGUCUUCGGCGUCCGAGUUGUAAUUUGUAGAGGAUGCUAUUGAGUUGUCACCGGUCUAAGUUCCUUGGAACAGGACGUCAUAGAGGGUGAGAAUCCCGUAUGUGACCGGCCAGACGCUCUCUGUAUAGCUCCUUCGACGAGUCGGGUUGUUUGGGAAUGCAGCCCUAAAUGGGAGGUAAAUUUCUUCUAAAGCUAAAUACCGGCCAGAGACCGAUAGCGCACAAGUAGAGUGAUCGAAAGAUGAAAAGCACUUUGGAAAGAGAGUUAAAAAGCACGUGAAAUUGUUGAAAGGGAAGCGCUUGCAAUCAGUCUCGACGGCGGCUGUUCGGCCUCUCUUCUGAGUGGUUUAUUCAGUCGCCGCCGGGCCAGCAUCAGUUCUGGCGGUCGGAUAAAGACGCGGGGAAUGUAGCUCCCCUCGGGGAGUGUUAUAGCCUCGCGUGCAAUACGGCCUGCCGGGACUGAGGUCCGCGCUUCGGCUAGGAUGCUGGCGAAAUGGUUGUAAGCGGCCCGUCUUGAAACACGGACCAAGGAGUCUAACAUCUAUGCGAGUGUUUGGGUGUCAAACCCGUACGCGUAAUGAAAGUGAACGGAGGUGGGAACCGCAAGGUGCACCAUCGACCGAUCCUGAUGUCUUCGGAUGGAUUUGAGUAAGAGCAUAGCUGUUGGGACCCGAAAGAUGGUGAACUAUGCCUGAAUAGGGUGAAGCCAGAGGAAACUCUGGUGGAGGCUCGCAGCGGUUCUGACGUGCAAAUCGAUCGUCAAAUUUGGGUAUAGGGGCGAAAGACUAAUC